GGGGAAGAGAUACCCAGCCUGACACUAGUCACUGUUUGGUUGGCACUCAACUUCCCGAGAUUAACGUGCUUUCUGAUGACUGUGAUGUUUCAAGUACACCUCACAGACAGAUACGGAGCAGACAUCG